AGCGAGUGGAGCGCUCCUUGGGCUGCAGGCGUCGCCGUCACCACGCGGGCGCCCGCCCUCCCUCUGACGCCCGCGGGGGCAACCCGGGAGGACUCGCCGACACCGCGGCUGCAGCGUAGCCAAAGAAGGGCAGGCGCGGCGCCCGCGGGGCUCGGGGACGCCGGGCCUGGGAGGGGGCUGCAGCGGCUGGAGUUAGAGGUUCGCGAGCCACACGGGCUCGAGGAUGGGCCGACAGGGGCUCGGGCCUGGGGAGCGCAAGUCUCUGAGGCACGGGAGGGGCGGACGCAGAGACCGAGCGCCUAAUGUGGCUAGCGGAUCGUCUGCUCCCCGGACCCAGGAACUACCCGAAGCCCGCGCGGACCCACAGACCACCCCCAGCUCCGCCCCGCGAGGCCCCGCCUCUUCAUGCAACCUAAAAGUAACCAACUCCCCCCACGCGAAGGUUCCUAUCGGUCGACGGGCUGUGGGUGUAUUGCUCAGUGACGGCUUCGUUUAGUUUCUCCCAGCACCCAUAAUUCAAAGCAAGAACAACGACAUUAUGGGGAGAAAACGUCCUUUUGUGAAACAGAAGGCAAUCCACACCAUUAGUAAACCCCAUCAAUUUUGCCUUCAGAAUAUAUCCAGAUUCUUCCCAAUUCUACCGCCACCAUUCUGGUUCAAGCUACCUGGUGAGUUUGCACCUGGAAUACUACAAUACCUUCCUCUCUGGUCUCCCUGCUUCUACUCUUGCCUCUCAUGUACAUGUUAUCUCAGUGCAGCAACUACAGCAAUCCUAAAUAAGGCAGAUCAUACCAUUUAUUCUCAGAAACCUUCACUGGCUCCUUACCUCAAAGUAAAAGCCCAGGUCAUUAGAAAAACCUCAGUAAGUUCAUUUCCUAUUACUCUCCUAGCUCAUCCUGUCAGCCAUACUAGUCUUCUUGCUUUUCCUUGAAUAUACUAAGCUCCUGUCUGGACCUUAACCUCCUCCACCUGGAACUCUCUUCCCGAUAUGUAUUUUCAUCCUCAUUCCCUCACCUUCUUCAGGUCUUUGCUCAAGUUUACCUAUCAGUGAGAUCUUUUCUGACAACCCUAUUAAAAAUAGCAAGCCUCCCCCCAACUCCCUGUCCCUGCACUAUUUAUUCCCUUCCCUUCUUUAUUUUCCGUCGUUACACGUAUCACCAUCAGAUAUGCAGUUUUAUUGCCUUGCUUACUAACAUUGUACAAUCCCCUCCUCUCCACCAAUAUGUGCUCCACAGAGGGGUAAGGGCUUUGUUUUGCUUACUGGUAUAUUCCAAGUGCUUAGAACAGUUGCUGGCACAUGGUGGGUACUCAAUAUUUUGUGAUUGAAUGAAUUAAUGAGUGAAUGAUGUAAUGAAAAGAUAAGCAUCUUUGUCAAUGUUAGAAACAUUUACUUCUGACGAUAAUCCAUAUAGCUUUCUCUGAUGUUACACAGCGAUUACAUCUCCUUGUGUCUAAAUUAAAGUCAAAGUAUGAAUUUUAAGAUGAUUUUUAAUUAUUUAACAAGUAGAAAUACGAUCAGUGACAAUUAUCAAUUAAAACAUUAAACAACCCAGUUACCUUUUCUUAACAGUCAUGAUGAAAUAUCCCUUUCCUGUCUUAUCAGAAGCCUUAAUUAUUCUCUACCACACACACCACAAAAGCUUCUUAAUAGAGCAUCAGUGUCCAUCACACCUUUGUGUAGAAUCUCUGGCAACAAGGUGCUGUCUCCUCUUGCCCUGCCCCCACAUCUGCUUAACUACUCUUCUUUCUGGAAUGCCUCUUUUGCUCCCAUUUUGUGAGCUCCUGCAGAUGUGUUUAAGGUCCAGCUCAGUGACUACCUCCUAGAGCCUUGCUUGACCACUUAAACAUACAAACUAAAAGCACAAUGUGGUCAUUUCGGAAAGAUGAUUGAUAAAUUCUCAAGCCACAAUGUCUAGUUUUUAAAAAAUGCAAGCAGGGAGGAACAGAAGUGACAUAUCAAGAAAUUAAAAACACAAAUUAUAGAUUGAAAAGACUAUAGUAAUAAAAAAAUUCAAUUUCACACUAAAAUAUUUAGUGUUACAGAGAAGGAACCAAAUUCUAGCCUUUAU
rnacentral:lncRNA from 1 species